rnacentral:rRNA from 1 species
AUUGAACGCUGGCGGCAGGCCUAACACAUGCAAGUCGAACGGAAGAAGGAAGCUUGUUGCUGUUUCGAGGGGGGGAGGGGGGAGGGAGGCCUAUGAAUGUGACAGUGAGUGGGGGAGAAGGUUAGGUAACGGAAGCGGAUACUACUAACGCACAGAGUCGGAAGGUGGGGGAGCGUGGGAUCCCACGCUCUCAGAUGAGCCUAGGUCGGAUUAGCUAGUUGGUGGGGUAAAGGCCAACCUAGGCGACGAUCCGUAGCUGGUCUGAGAGGAUGAGCAGCCACACUGGAACUGAGACACGGUCCAGACUCCUACGGGAGGCAGCAGUGGGGAAUAUUGCACAAUGGGCGCAAGCCUGAUGCAGCCAUGCCGCGUGUGUGAAGAAGGUCUUCGGAUUGUAAAGUACUUUAAGCUGGGAGGAAGGGAAUAAAGUUAAUACCUUGACUUAUUGACGUUACCAACAGAAGAAGCACCGGCUAACUUCGUG